GUGCACUGCAAGACGUGAUUACUUCCUGGUUAAAAGCUUAAAAAAAAAACAGUGGAAGCCACAGAAAAAGUAAUGAGGUGCCAAUUCCGAAAAUCCACUUGUAUAGGCCGAAUGUUGUACUGAACUUAACUCAACAGUUUUAACCAGCCACCAGCUGAACUUAUACUGAAAUGAAGACCAUCAGAAUCAGUGCUGAAAGUUUUGAUGCCAUGAACAGUGAGGUGUUGACUUAGAAAAAAGUGAAUGAACUAUGACGAAUCUUUGAAAUGAACUGAACAAAACCAACGAGCAGUGAAGUGAUUAGAAAAUUCCACCUCUAGAAAUUAAAACCAAAUUCAUGCUGAUCGCGCGUGAUGCGCGGAUCGGCUCUGUCUGACGUCAUCCGAAUCCGCAUGUUUGCAUAAAUCACCCACCAGCCACCCUCCCGAGCAAAUGAUUUCCUCCUAUUUAGAGACCCGCACCCGCAUGGACAUUUCUCUCCACCUCUACCGGUCCCUGUAGGCUCUAUUGCCUUUUAAAUGAUGUCGAGCAGCGGAGCUUUCCAGGUGAUUUCUUUAUUGUGUGUUGUAUUGAUGUCUGAGUGUUUUCUUUCACGAUUUACUUUAAUGAUUAGAGAGGCUGCUGUCUGUCAUUUUAAACGUUUCCAUGAGCGCAGUAAUGUUACAGCAAACAUCGUGGGACAUUUAAGCAGCAACAUUUAAACUCUAGUUAUAAACUUCUGAAAUAUUUUUUUAGACAGCUCUGAUGGAGCUCAGGAUUUAUCAGGAGGACGGCUGUUUUACGCCGAACAAACCUUUUUGGUGUGCAGAAGAACACAGAACAUUAAUUAACAUUAGAUACUCAUCGAUCCCGUCGGCUUGUCGGGAGAUGUAAAUAAUCAUUGAAGUUAUGCUGCUGGACCUCGUGCUUAAAUGUGCACAGUGUCUCUCCUAAUGGGGAGAGGCUUCACCCGAUUUCUCCCACCCAAAACCCAUCAGCUAUUAAUCCCAAUGUUCAUUUUUACCGGAUAUAACUGCGAUCGGCCCACCCCAAGUCAGCAGGGCAGCAGGUGUUAGCAUCUUUAUGCGCUUGAGUGCUCACCUGCGCCAGAGGCUCAACGUCUGGGCUGGCCCUCGUCUGAAGCGAUGAGAUUCAGAGACUAAAUUAGUAGUGAGUUUCAGUGUUUGCCAGUAGUGCACUGCCCAAAAAAAUCAGAAUUUUGUUGAAGGUUAAUUUUGUUUCAGUGACAAGUUUCUAGUCUCUUAAUAGCGCCGCCAAUGACUGGUAGCCUACUUAUUUAUCUACAAAGCCCUUAUUGAGAAAUUGUUAUUUUAUAUCUCAUCCUUGUAGCUGCCAUCAGAGGCAACACUCAUAUAUUCUAGUUCAUAAUAUGCACUUUAUAGUUAAAAGGUCAAUAAAUAGUUAAAAUCUUCAAAAUAAUCAUUAGAAUAAGUAAGUAAUAUAUUUUUUGUUAAUACAUGUCAAUUCAUUUCAUAUUAUUCAGCUAAAACUAUAGAAAAAGGGGGAACCUAUUUCCUUUUGUUCCGCUAGGGAAUUAUUUAAUUGCUGCUAUCAGGAUAUUUGUUCCGGUGCACUACAUGUAGAAGAGCCUGAAGAGCACACGAGGUGCUGUACGCAUGACAUGUCUGCAAGAGUUAUGCCUAUAAGAAGUGCUAAGAAGUUAUAUUGUCUUUUUGUUUAAAGAAGAAGAAACUGUAACCCUCCAAGUUUAUUCCUCUUGAGUUAGAGAGGCCAAUGAGUUCUGACGGCAUUGUUGGGACAUAAAAGGGAGAGACUAACAUGUACAAGACAUGUUGAAGACUCGUGUCCGAAUAAAUGUCUGUUAAAAAUCAA